GGCAAGGUGGCCGAGUGGUUAAGGCGUCAGUUUCGAAUUGAGCAAACUCAAUUAGCUGAUUCCCUAGGGAUCGCCGGUUCGAAUCCGGUCCUUGUCG
rfam:Aspergillus fumigatus Af293 chromosome 7, whole genome shotgun sequence.